CCAAACCCACCUCUCACAAAACUGCCAUUGCCCAGCAAUCCCUGCUUUUACGUCUGUGGUGAACCACCGUCUUUGUUAAUUUGACAAUAAAAUGUGACAGGGCGUCUGUUUUUGUUUUUUAAAGUGGACUUUGUUGCUUGGCUGUGAAGGCUUAGCAAGCAACAAAACUGGCGAUAAAGAGGGAAAGGGGACCCAGGGAAGUUCCUGCAUUUUCUCAGCAAGUGUUUCAGGGCUUCCUUUCCACAACGUAACUCCCUCGACUUUCUGAGUCACAACCUACCGGGAUCACAGCUAUGAGGAGCGACUCAGAAAAUGGACCAGGGCAGCUGGGAAGGCAGUGAGAAAGAAAGAGAAAAUGUCACCUGAAAGAGCCCUAAGAAUCAGCUCAAGGCAACAGCUGAGAUUGGCAAUGCUUUUUAUGGGGGCAAAACUCUGAAACCUCAUAACGUUGAAUCAUCCAUUGACAAGUCCUAGCAACAGCACCGCAUGAAAACUAUCGGCAACCGGCUUUACUUCCUGCAACCCCUCUCCCUCCAAGAUGGCAAGAAUAUCAGCUUCAGAGACAUUGAAAAGACACAAGGCUGCAUAGGGUACACAGCGUGGGACAGUGAAAUCUUGAAGAGGAAAGUUGCCUGCACUUGUUCCACCAACUGGGUAAACCCUGGCAGCCAGACUGGAAUACCAUAGAGCAACUGAGGUAUAAUUUUGGCGUUGAAGACCUUAAGGGCAGAAGGGAUAUGCGGAUUACCUCUUGUUAUGAAAAAACGCAUCAUGGCCUGCAUAGACAUCUUACUGGCAUUCACCACCAUUGCAUAGUGCGUGGACCAGAGAAGCCUAUGAUGGAAUGUAAUUCCCAGAUACAGAAUGGCAAUGUCUCCCACCUGAGAGGUUCCAGCUGAAAGAAAGUCCUGCUUGCAACCUUUCAGAGCUCAGAAAUCAGUGUGCUUUUGUUGUUGUUUAGUCGUGUCCGACUCUUCGU